GGCACAUUAUCAUGACAAGGAUUGCACAACAUAACUUAAGUCGUGAUCAAGCAUAAAAAGGUACAAAAAAAAAGAAAAAGAGAGGAAAUAGAUAGUGGUGGUAACUUAGGUGGUGGAUACAGCUUUGCGUGAGCUCUUCUUCUUCUUCUUCUUCUUCUUCUUCUUUAGAAAAGCUUUGGGCUUGUGCAUCUUUGAACUUGAUCGGAGAUGCUUACCUAUGCGUAGUAGUGCAAGAAAAAAAAACAUACUGUGAGCGACAACAACGACCUGUACACAAACAAUAUUGAUAAUUAAAACAAAUAGACGACACCUUGAUGAGGCUUGGAGGGGCUACUAACGAUAUCAGACGACAACUUUUCCUGUCAUACAUAAAUGGUGCUGUAAUUAAUAAUCAAAUUAUUCUCAACCAAAAAAAAAACAAAAAAGAGAGGGAAAAGAGAGAGAGAGUAGAUUGUAUAACCUGUAUAUCAAUUUGGGAGACAAGAGUGGUCUGAUCCUGAUCAGAAGAUCCCUUUAGACUCUUAUCGGACUGGAUUAUUUGCAUACAGGUAGAACAACGUAGCAACGAGACUUGAGAACCUAGUGUUUUCUUCAUCCCGACCAAACUGUAUAAGAUUCGCAACAACAACCAUACAUAAUGUUAACAACAAAUACCAACAAUAUAUUACUGAGAGAAUAAUCAAAUUUACAAAUAAGACACCUCGGUGAUGGCGUCUGAGGCUUCGAGGUGCUAGCAACAACAUCAGACGACGACUUUUCCUGUUACAUAUCAUAUAAGUUGUUGUGAUUAAUAAUCAAACUAAUGGAUUUUCUCGACCAAACAAAAGAGAUAGAACCUGAAUAUCAAUUCCUGAGACAAGAGUGGUCUGAUCCUGUUCAGUUCCCUUCAGACUCUUAUCUGAUUGGAUCUCCACCGAGACUUGAGAUCCUUCACGUAGUUCGGCCAAUCUGAGCGCCAACAAAAACCAUCACCCACCAUUCACAUAGAUCUAUAUAUACUGCUAACUAAUUAAAUAAUAAGUAUCAAAAAUAAACGGACACCUCUUUUGUUGGAAGAGGUUGUGUUUGCGUACGGGAGGUCGGUAUGGACGAGGUUCUGUAAACGAAUUGGGUUCACAACGCAUUACCAUGCGGCAAAGACCUCUAGCCAUGACUAACUCUGCCUCCUAAACAAACUGACGAAGUCGGAAACCCUAGAUCAAAAUUUAUAUAUAUAUAUAUACACAAGAAUUUGGGCCUAUUCCAUGGUUUAUAUUCUUUAACUCCAAAUCUGGCCCACAGGUUUGGGCCUAUAAUUUGUUUAAUGCCCAAGCUUGCUUCAUUAUGAUUAAACGAACUGAAUUUAAAUCAUUCCAAUACCAAAAUCAAAAUAUUUGUUACACAAACAAAGGAAGAAGAAGAUGGAAAGCUUUCUCUCCCACCGGAAACUCCACCACCAGUUGGUAUUUGAUCUGAUCUAUAGUUGGUGGGAAAAGGGAGAUCCAACUGUUGGAAUUUAAACAAGUUGUUUUAACAAUUUAUAUAUAUAUAUAUAUAUAUACUAGGGUAAACCCGCCCUACGGGCGGGCAGGACAGGCGAAUAAACAAAAUAAUAAUACAAAUUUAUUUAAAAUCUCUAAUUUUUUUUUUUAAAUACCAUGUUCAUAAUUAUUUUACAACCAUUUUAUCUAUAUAUUUUAAAUUUUAUUUUAGAAAUUAUUAUUUUAUGUAUAUCAAUUACUAUGGUUAAAAUUGUUUGAUGUUAUAAUAUUCAACCUUAUAUUAUGCCGCGAUUAACUAUAUUUCAUAAUAUAAUGUUCAAAUAUAUUCUUAGAAUACUCUUUUAUUCUUCGGAUAUAUUGAGUCGAGUGAAAAGACAUUUUAAUAUUAGUCCAUUGUAUUUGUGCAAUAAUGCUAAUGAAUACUGUCAAAAAAUUGAACAACAAUCAUCGAUUUGGAAAAGGUUAAAUAUACAUAUAGAGAAAAAAAUAAGUAUAUAACUACCUAAUAUUUAUUUCAAUAUAUAAGACUCAACAUAAAAUGUCAUACAUCCAAAGAUUAGACAAAGACAUGUGUGAAUAAACACACAAAUCUGAAUCCAGAUCUAGUCUAAUCAAACGGACCUAAACAAUCUAUAUCAUCAUCACAAGUGUUCAGUUUUGAGCAGUCUGGCAGAAAAUAAACUGAAGUAAAAUUAAUCAAACCAUCAGAAGAUUGUUGGAAACCGUUAAUCGUGUAUUCAUGGUUUGGUCAAAAGCUAAUAAGAGCAUGAUUAUCCCUAGAAACUCAUUAGGUUUCUUAAUGAUUAUUUAAGUAUUAAAUUUUAGUUAAGGAAUUUAGUUAAGAAUCACCUAAUUUUCUUCCUCCAAUGGGAGUUUCUUAAUAAGGGGUUUCUUAAAAAAAAAAAAAUUAAAGAUAGGAUUGGAGAAAGAAUUCUCAACCAUUUGUGUGAUGUAGUUUUGAUUACCAUACAAAAACAAUUCUAAUACAAGCGUGUCUCAAGAACAGGGUCGUGCCUGAAUAUUAUGGGCCCUAAAGCAUUAAAAAAAUUUGGCCCUUAAAAUAUAAUAUUUUUGGAAAAAUGUCAAAAUUCCUAUAGUUCUGUUUGAACCCGGGGCUCUAGAGUAGUAAUGGGGACUGUUACCAACUAUGCUGUAGACAACUUUUACAAUAAAUUUGGCCCAUAAAACUAUUUAUCUAAUUUUUGGCCCCAAGCAGGUGCUUGAUUAUCCUCUAGUCAGGCACGGCCCUGCUCAAGAACACAAGAAUACAAGUUUUUAUUACCUCUCGAGCAGCUUGUACCGAGUGUCGUUCAAGUAAAACGACUGAGCGGUCUCCAUGAUCCAUUUCGCCUCCUCGUCAGUGAGUUUGCUUGUGAACACAACAUCACCUCGGAUAAACACCAAGUCUUUUGUCGCUCGAUGUAGAAGGUGCUAGUCAGGUAAGGAGCCGCUUGAGUUCCACCUUGAGCAAACAUUGUAACAUAACCAUUUCCUCUCCACAAUGGAAAUGGGUUGUAUCAAAUCCACCAUUUUCAUGUCAUAAGGCACAUGCUUCUCCUCCAUAGUCAACAACACCCUUUGGCAAAAAGGGCCUACCAACAAAAAUUAUGCAUAUACUCAAUUCGUGAAGUAAAAAAUAACCCUCGAGACUAGACUAGAAGCAAUCAAGUUUGCAUUUUUUAUAUUUCUAAAUUUGUUUUGAUAGUUUCAAAUUUCUAAACUAAGAAACAGUCUAAGCACAGUUUGACAAAAAAAAAAGAAACAGUCUCAGCACUAAUUAAGUUAACACACAAAAUGCUUUAAGUAUGUAUCUGCAAGGGAAAAUUAAGGAAAACAUGAAUAAAGAUUGCAGCUUUAUCAUCUACAUUUUAAAGUUGUUCGUCAAUAGAGAGAGAGAAAGAGAGCUAACAGUCUCCGAGCUUGUUGGGUGUAGUGAUGGAAGCUUUGACGCAGAUUUUGAGAGGAGCAGCCGCCAUAGCCAUCGUCCCGAACCGGGCGGUUCUUCUCGGCUUAAUCAAACCGCACCGCUUGAUAAAUCCUGCGCGACUGACCGACGCCGAUAAAACAACGGCGGUGCUUGGUUGAAACCUAAGGCUUAUUAGAGAGGGAGAGAGUGAUUUGGUAGCUGAAGAAACGAAAGGAGAGUGCUUUUGUUGUUAACUUAGGGAAAAUUGUAUCGUCCAGGGAGAGAAGUCAAAGGAGAUGGAGACGACGACAGAAGACGGAGAACACGAGAGAAACAGAAAAAAAAAAAUUGAGAUUUAGGAAAGAUUGACACGUGUUCUAAAAAACCCAUUCUAAAUCGGUUACAAAAGUCUCCUAUUAAGGAUCGACUACUCCCAUUUUAAUUAUUUUUGAUUUAAUUAAAUCCUUGAUUUUCUUAAAAACCCCACUUAAGGAUCUGGGAUAAGGAUCUGUAAUAAGAGUCCCUUCCUUUUUGUUUUUUUUUUCAAAUUGCCAAAACAAUCCAAUAACCCAUGCAGCUGGACAAUGGUGGACAAUUGGACACAAUCGAUAAAAGACGUAGUCUAAGACGGAAUACAUAAUGGAAAAAAGACUUGUAAAUUGCAGAGGUAAAAGAAAUCUCAUCCAAGUUCAAAACUUUUAUAAAAAAGAAGUAAACAACACAACCGAAGGAUAUUACUAAUGAAAUGAUCAAUAAUAGUAAUCAUGUGGGAACAAACUCAGAAGCCAAAAACUAAGUUAACUCUCUUCCUUUAAAUACUCAAAACAACAGUUUAAGAUGAUGAAGCCGCUGCCUUGUUCUUUGGCUUAGCUUCGGUACCUUCUCUGAUAUGGUCUUGAACCUGUGAGGCACAUUGCGAAGAUACCUAAUCGUUCCAGUUCCUGUAGUCUUUCUACGGAUUGCCUUCACACUCCAGUUGUAGGUCCUCUUGCGAGCGGCAGGGUAAGCACAGGUGGAGCUACAGCUCUUCUGGAUGUGGAAGCUGCGACGGCCACAUCUCACACAGAGAGUGUGACUCUUGUUCCUCCUCUUUCCGAAACUCCAUGUUCCCUUCGUCAUUUAAGCGGAUGCGCGUUAACAAAACUUUAACAAAAAUAUAAGGUAUAAUAUACUGCAAUCUAAAUCAGAGUUGUCAGCAAAAUCUAACACUUUUGAGAAAAAUGUAUAAAAGAAAAAUAAUACACAGGGGAGGGUGUCAAUAAACCGUAGGUAUGGCGACGGUGACAUAAACAAAACCGGUCUCUUCUGACCAACUAUCAUAUGUUGUGAGUACUGUCAAAAGAAUAUGUUCCCAAAAUUCUGUUUUUUUUUUGUGUUCCAAGAAAGAGAAUUAUGAGUAAUGGCUCUAAUAGCAAACCUCUGGACCAUCUGGAGUAUAAUAAGUUUGUUUAGACCAAGCUGUGGAUGUUUUCCAGCGAAUGCGGCCCCAUCUACCAAUUACAUUUUUUUUUGUGAAUCAGAAACAUUUCAUUAGAUUAGAUCAUAAUAAUUUAGGCACGGCAAACAAAACGUUAGGCUGAGGGUGGACUUUUCUGAAGAAUAAAUAAUAAGAAAUAAGAACCAAUAAAAAGCUUGGUCAUAGUAUUGGACGACUUGAUGCUGGGGAAGUUGCAUAGUUGAAUUUUAGAUCAAAUCAACAUAGGAGAGUCGGACAGUGACACCUGUUCGAAGCCAUAAGCUCGCCACCUUGUGAUUAAUCCUAACAAAUCUGAAAAGAGAAGGGAAGCUAUUUUUUUCCAUAUCACCGGAGUUACCUUAGCUAUAAGAAGAAGCAGAUGACUUUGGCGGUGGUGCUACAUCGACCGCUUUCAAGUAAGCUAGGAAGACAGAUGAGUUCGACAUUCUCCUAAAGGAAAGUUGUCUGAGUUGUAAUGGAUGAAAGGAUGAUGCUAAGGGAAUGAAGACUAACCUUUUUAUACACGGAGAAUCACCGACUGAAAGAGCAGGCAGGUGCAUUGAAUGAUGAAUCGUGGUAAGAGUGAGAUUUAGGAGUUAAGAUGGUCGUUAAUGACAACGACUAAAAGCAUCUCAGUCAUCCCGUAACGAUUCGAAUUCCCAAUACCACAAAAUAAAUACAGUCCAAAGGACAUAAACAACAAAUCGCUCAAGAGAUUUUUCGUAAGAAGUCGUCUCCCAUAACCUUCCAGAAUCUCCAUGGUCGUUUAUGAAAUCAGAACCUGAAGAACACGAAGAACCCUACAAAGCUAUGAAGCAAGUUGUCAAAGACGAAGAGGUGUUUAUUAGAUUUUAGAUAAUAGGUUCGACCAGUCGUUAUUAAAGAUUGGUGAGCCCAUUUAUAAGACUUGUAAAGCCCACAUAUAAAAGCCUAACACACUCGGGAAUUAAUGAAACGGAGCGUCUUGCUCGGAUAGACAGGUGUCGACUCCACAGCUUCCGAAUUGAUGACCUGGAAUCCGACGUGAACCCCCUAGGAGAGAAGGAAACCCUUCUUUAUAUAUAUAUAGAUAGAUAGAUAGAUAACUCCAUGCAUGCAACAACGAGAGAGAGAGAGAGAGAUUGAGAGAAAUAUAACUACUGCGUGGUAUAUCAAAUUUGUCAUUUAUUUUCAUUUUUCUUUAGUUUCAACAUCUUACAAGGGCUCCUUUUACAUUUUGGAGCCACAAGUUACAGUAUCUUUGGCAAUUGACACGAAAAUAAAAUUAAAAGAAAACACACACACAUACAAAGAAGCGAUCCUUUUGGUGCCUAUUUACGGAUAAAAACCUUUCUUGAGUAAUAAAUUCACAAGAAAAUAACCUAUCUCUUUUUUUUUUUUACGAAUAAAGAGUUAAACCCAAAUAUAUUAAAGACACAGACCUAACUCCCGGGUAGGAGGUGAAAAUAACCUAUUUCUAUAGUAAAAUGUGAAUAAGAAGUUGUCCUUAUUUUAUAUGCAUCCGUCAGAGUUGCGGUUGGACCAAAAUAGUAUGUUUAAUGUGUAACUUAUGUUCACCCAUAUUGGUAUUCUCCUCAUUCCAUACUCCCCACUACACCAAGAUGCUUGCAAGCCUCAAUAUCGACUUGAACGGUGCGUUUUGACCCCCUGCCGUGACAUGAACCUUCUCAAACGCUACCAACUGCUUGUUCACACCCAAUCCUUUUAUCCCGUUCUCCGGCGGCUCGGCAAAGGCGAACACCGUGUGAGUUUCAUCAAAUUCACCGGUGUUUGACACUCAACGUGGAGAUGCAUUUUUGGAAACGUUUCACAGUUGGCAUGAGACACUUUGAUAAUUGAGCUAGUGGGUUUUGAGCCAAACUGUGAGUGAAGGUAGUGUAACUUAAACCGAACCCAAAUGGAAACACCACUGGACCUUUGUAGAAACUGUAAGUCCUUCCUGGGUAGUUUCCAGAUGCUCUCAUUGUCAUUAUUGUGAUUGGAAGUUCUGUCACGUAGUCUUGUGGAUACCAUGUCAAUGGUAGUUUACCUCCUAUCAUAUUUGAUCUGAUUAUGUAUAUUAUGUUUUUAGUUUCUUAUAGAUUUUGUUUUUAAUUUCUUAUACACUUUUUUUGGGGUAAAAUUCUUAUACACUUUCUUUCUUAUAUACUUUGUUUUCUCUCAUUUGUAUGAUUCUCUUGCCUUUAGAUAAUUUUGUAAAAAUCAUGAUGUUAUUAGAUUGUAAUUUAGAUAAAUCUCAUGUUUAUAAUCUUUACUAUUAUCACAAUUCACAGAUUCUUAAUUCAAUUUGACUAAAUGCACCAAUAUUAGCUUUAACAUCUUCUGAUCUGUUUGGCUAUACUCUGGAUUUAUUUUGUUCCAUUCACAUUCAUUUUUGAUUAAGUUAAUGAUCCAUUUCAACAAGUAUUUGACUAUUUGUGAACAAUCAUGGCAUCUAAGCCGAAACAAACUCUAACUAACACUACAAGAAAACAGCGGUAUUCCGACGGACAUUCCGACGGAAAAUGAAAUCCUCGGAAUAUCCCGAGGAAUUUCCGAGGAAAUUCCGAGGAAGCACAAAAUUGGGUUUCCUCGGAAUUUCCUCGGAAUAUACCGACGGAAUUCCGAGGAAAUAUCAGUCCGUCGGAAUAUUCCGAGGAAAUUCCGAGGAAAAAUGUGUUCCUCGGAAAAAACCGAUGAAUUCCGAGGAAAUAUUAUAGCCGUUGGNNNNNNNNNNNNNNNNNNNNNNNNNNNNNNUAGGCCUGGGCAUUCGGGGUCCCAAUCGGGUUUCGGUUUUAUCCAAUCGGGUUUCGGUUUUUCGAGUUUAUCAAAAUCAGCCCCAUUCGGAUUAUAUGAAAGUUCGGUUCGGGACCGGUUCGGAUUCUAUCGGGUUCGGGUCGGGGUUAGUAAAUCUUCAAAGAACCGACACAAUCCAAUAUACUUUCGGGUUCGGGUCCCAAUCGGUUUUUCGGUUUAAAAGUACCUGAUUUUUACCUAUUUUAUAACCAAAACAUGAGUAAAAUCACUUCUUCAGUUUUAAAAUACUUGAUUCGUACUUAUUUUGUAACCAAAACUUAAGUAAAAUCGAUUCAAAAAUAAGGAACAUCAACCAUGAUCAUUCAAAAUCAAACGAAAAGUAAACGUAUUUACUGAUAAAAAGAAAACCAAAUAAAUAAAAUCAUAAAACGAAAACCAAGUUGAGAAACAUUGUUUAACGAAAACAAAAUCUAAAUCUAAAUACUUUAAAAUUUAACGGCCAUCUUCAACCAUCAACCUUAAUGUAACAAAACCACCAACAUUUAUGUAAUAGAACCACCAACCUUCAUGUAAUAGAUAAGUAUUUUAGAUGUCCAAUAUUUCUUAGUGUAUUUUGGAUACAUAUUAGGAAUUGAGAUCAUGUUUGGUACAAGAUCUUUUCGAGGUUUUGAAUGUUUCGGGUUCUAUCGGAUAUCCAUUUAGAUUCGGGUUCGGUUCGGAUAAUACCCAUAACCCGAAAUACCACAAAACAAGAUCCAUUCGGUAUUUACGUCGGGUUCGGAUCGGUUCGGAUUCAUUUUUAUCGGAUCGGAUUCGGUUCGGGUUAUCGGGUUCGGUUUAUUUGCCCAGCCCUAGGUGGAGCAACAGCUCUUCUGGAUGUGGAAGCUGCGACGGCCACAUCUCACACAGAGAGUGUGACUCUUGUUCCUCCUCUUUCCGAAACUCCAUGUUCCCUUCGUCAUUUAAGCGGAUGCGCGUUAACAAAACUUUAACAAAAAUAUAAGGUAUAAUAUACUGCAAUCUAAAUCAGAGUUGUCAGCAAAAUCUAACACUUUUGAGAAAAAUGUAUAAAAGAAAAAUAAUACACAGGGGAGGGUGUCAAUAAACCGUAGGUAUGGCGACGGUGACAUAAACAAAACCGGUCUCUUCUGACCAACUAUCAUAUGUUGUGAGUACUGUCAAAAGAAUAUGUUCCCAAAAUUCUGUUUUUUUUUUGUGUUCCAAGAAAGAGAAUUAUGAGUAAUGGCUCUAAUAGCAAACCUCUGGACCAUCUGGAGUAUAAUAAGUUUGUUUAGACCAAGCUGUGGAUGUUUUCCAGCGAAUGCGGCCCCAUCUACCAAUUACAUUUUUUUUUGUGAAUCAGAAACAUUUCAUUAGAUUAGAUCAUAAUAAUUUAGGCACGGCAAACAAAACGUUAGGCUGAGGGUGGACUUUUCUGAAGAAUAAAUAAUAAGAAAUAAGAACCAAUAAAAAGCUUGGUCAUAGUAUUGGACGACUUGAUGCUGGGGAAGUUGCAUAGUUGAAUUUUAGAUCAAAUCAACAUAGGAGAGUCGGACAGUGACACCUGUUCGAAGCCAUAAGCUCGCCACCUUGUGAUUAAUCCUAACAAAUCUGAAAAGAGAAGGGAAGCUAUUUUUUUCCAUAUCACCGGAGUUACCUUAGCUAUAAGAAGAAGCAGAUGACUUUGGCGGUGGUGCUACAUCGACCGCUUUCAAGUAAGCUAGGAAGACAGAUGAGUUCGACAUUCUCCUAAAGGAAAGUUGUCUGAGUUGUAAUGGAUGAAAGGAUGAUGCUAAGUCGGGUUCGGAUCGGUUCGGAUUCAUUUUUAUCGGAUCGGAUUCGGUUCGGGUUAUCGGGUUCGGUUUAUUUGCCCAGCCCUAGGUGGAGCAACAGCUCUUCUGGAUGUGGAAGCUGCGACGGCCACAUCUCACACAGAGAGUGUGACUCUUGUUCCUCCUCUUUCCGAAACUCCAUGUUCCCUUCGUCAUUUGAUUCGAAUUCCCAAUACCACAAAAUAAAUACAGUCCAAAGGACAUAAACAACAAAUCGCUCAAGAGAUUUUUCGUAAGAAGUCGUCUCCCAUAACCUUCCAGAAUCUCCAUGGUCGUUUAUGAAAUCAGAACCUGAAGAACACGAAGAACCCUACAAAGCUAUGAAGCAAGUUGUCAAAGACGAAGAGGUGUUUAUUAGAUUUUAGAUAAUAGGUUCGACCAGUCGUUAUUAAAGAUUGGUGAGCCCAUUUAUAAGACUUGUAAAGCCCACAUAUAAAAGCCUAACACACUCGGGAAUUAAUGAAACGGAGCGUCUUGCUCGGAUAGACAGGUGUCGACUCCACAGCUUCCGAAUUGAUGACCUGGAAUCCGACGUGAACCCCCUAGGAGAGAAGGAAACCCUUCUUUAUAUAUAUAUAGAUAGAUAGAUAGAUAACUCCAUGCAUGCAACAACGAGAGAGAGAGAGAGAGAUUGAGAGAAAUAUAACUACUGCGUGGUAUAUCAAAUUUGUCAUUUAUUUUCAUUUUUCUUUAGUUUCAACAUCUUACAAGGGCUCCUUUUACAUUUUGGAGCCACAAGUUACAGUAUCUUUGGCAAUUGACACGAAAAUAAAAUUAAAAGAAAACACACACACAUACAAAGAAGCGAUCCUUUUGGUGCCUAUUUACGGAUAAAAACCUUUCUUGAGUAAUAAAUUCACAAGAAAAUAACCUAUCUCUUUUUUUUUUUUACGAAUAAAGAGUUAAACCCAAAUAUAUUAAAGACACAGACCUAACUCCCGGGUAGGAGGUGAAAAUAACCUAUUUCUAUAGUAAAAUGUGAAUAAGAAGUUGUCCUUAUUUUAUAUGCAUCCGUCAGAGUUGCGGUUGGACCAAAAUAGUAUGUUUAAUGUGUAACUUAUGUUCACCCAUAUUGGUAUUCUCCUCAUUCCAUACUCCCCACUACACCAAGAUGCUUGCAAGCCUCAAUAUCGACUUGAACGGUGCGUUUUGACCCCCUGCCGUGACAUGAACCUUCUCAAACGCUACCAACUGCUUGUUCACACCCAAUCCUUUUAUCCCGUUCUCCGGCGGCUCGGCAAAGGCGAACACCGUGUGAGUUUCAUCAAAUUCACCGGUGUUUGACACUUCAACGUGGAGAGGAAUUUUUGGAAACGUUUCACAGUUGGCAUGAGACACUUUGAUAAUUGAGCUAGUGGGUUUUGAGCCAAACUGUGAGUGAAGGUAGUGUAACUUAAACCGAACCCAAAUGGAAACACCACUGGACCUUUGUAGAAACUGAAAGUCCUUCCUGGGUAGUUUCCAGAUGCUCUCAUUGCCAUUAUUGUAAUUGGAAGUUCUGUCACGUAGUCUUGUGGAUACCAUGUCAUUGGUAGUUUACCUCCUAUCAUAUUUGAUCUGAUUAUGUAUAUUAUGUUUUUAGUUUCUUAUAGAUUUUGUUUUUAAUUUCUUGUACACUUUUUUUGGGGUAAAAUUCUUAUACACUUUGUUUCUUAUAUACUUUGUCUUCUCACAUUCGUAUGAUUCUCUUGCGUUUAGAUAAUUUUGUAAAAAUCAUGAUGUUAUUAGAUUCUAAUUUAGAUAAAUCUCAUGUUUAUAAAUCUUUACUAUUAUCACAAUUCACAGAUUCUUAAUUCAAUUUGACUAAAUGCACCAGUAUUAUCUUUAACAUCUUCUGAUCUGUUUGGCUAUACUGCCUGUUUGUUUCUCCAUUUGGAUAGAUCAUCUAGAUGAAGAUGGGAGGUUUGUUUGUUUAGACACUAAAAGUACAAUUCAUUCAAAUGGAUCAUCCGGAUGACUUUUGGAAAUUUAGGCUUAAUUUUAAAGUCCAUUCAGCUGAACCAAUUUGGAUCAUUCGAAUGGAGAUAGUUCAUUUAAAAUGGUAUAAAGUCUAUUAUACCCCUAAUGUAAUUCACAAAUUACAAACCUAAAAAUAAAAUCAUUUUUGUCACAAACGAAAACUGACAAAACUACAAACACUUUUUCCCGUGCUAAAAACUAUUUUUUUCACGCCAAAACCCCAAAACGCAUUUUCCCGCUAAAAUUGCAAAAAAAUAUUUUUCCGUCAAAAUUGCAAAAACGUGUUUUCCCGCAAAAACCGAAAAACAUGUUUUCAUGCACAAAUCACAAAAAAAAAUGUUUUCACGCCAACACCCAAAAUACAUUUCUCUGCCAUAACACAAAAAAAUAUAGUUAAAAUUAAUAUCAAACAUAUGAUUAAAUCAACAUAAGGGUAUUUUGGUAAUUUGUUUGCUAAACUCAUUUGAAUGGAAAUGAAAAUAAAGAAAUAAACAUAAGAUCCAUUUAGAUGAUUCAUCUAGAUGAGCUAUGUGUAUAGACAAACAAACAAUCACAAAAAUCUGAAUGGAUCAGUUGAAUAGAUCAUACAAAUGAAUCAUUUGAAUGUAAAUGACAAAUGGUGAAACAAACGGCCCCACUCUGGAUUUAUUUUGUUCCAUUCACAUUCAUUUUUGAUUAAGUUAAUGAUCCAUUUCAACAAGUAUUUGACUAUUUGUGAACAAUCAUGGCAUCUAAGCUGAAACAAACUCUAACUAAUAGAUACGGUGCUCUUCAACUGUGGGAGAUCAUAGUGAUUGCCCUCUUUGCAGCUUUCAUACUCAUCCUAGCCAUUUCAGUAUGUUUGAGCUUCCUAUAUUCUGUUAAUAAUUACAUCAACUCUUAUCUGAAACGAGACUAUACUUGAAUUGAUUGUCUUUAUUCUUUCAUUUUGCAGUGGUAAGAGCUCCUGGUAUGAGUCCGUUAAAGAUUCCAUUGACUAAAACCGAGCUUGGUGACAGAAGGUGUCUCGAUGUCGAAAUUGUCUGGCUCUGCGUUAGAUGAAGGAGAAGAAGUCGUUUGGUUCAGUUUCUUAUUAUCUUGGUAAACAAAGCCGUUUGGUUCAGUUUUUUAUUCUUUUCAUUUGCAACAAAUGUAUACACAUGUUAAUCAAGUUUUCUUUCUGAAAAUAGAAACUGAAACCACACCUUCACCUUCUGAGUAUGCAGCAGACUACUCCACAAGAUUUGCAUAUAUGAUUUCGUUUUUGUUUGUAUCUGAGGUGAGCCAUUCUCAUUAGCUACAACCACAGUGUCGUAUUAACUAGAAUGUACGUUUGACUUUAUUUUUUCUGCUUGAUGUUUGCAUCUUUAGAUCAACUUAAUAUUAUUAUAAGUUUAUUGUUUUUUUUAGUUUUACAAAAAAAAAAAAGACAAUCGGGUUUUGCUUCUGUUUUCUUUUAUCAGCCCAAAAAUCGAAUUCAAAACCAUAAAAGUAAAAAAGAAGAAGCAAAUAACCUAAUUUGAAAGCCCGACAAUGAACACGUUAAAUCCCAUUUACACAGAUUAUGUCGAAAACAAAAUUAUUAAGAAUAUAUGUAAAUAUAAGAAUAUACAUAUAUAUAUAUAUAUAUAUUAAAAUAUAAGAUUUUUUUUACAAAAAUGUAGGACUAAAAAUUAUAUGAUAUAAAUUUAAAAUAAAGCAUUUAUUCUAUUAUAAUAAUUUUUAAUGAUUUCAAAUUAAAACUGUGAAAAUACACAUAAACUAAAUUUAAAACAAAUUAUUAUAUUAAUUAUUUUUAAUAAUUGACACAAUAUAUUUGUAUAUAUGAUUUAUCUUUAAUAAAAGCCUCAAUGCAUAAAGAUAAUUUAUAGCAUUAAUUUUAAUAUUUUUAUAUUUAUAUUCUCAAUAUUCAAUACUAUUAAAAUUUGAAUUUUAUAUAAAUUAAAAAUUAUAAUUUUAUAUUUUUAUGAAUAUAUGACGUUGUCUUUUUUUUAAAGAAAAGAAGCAUGAUUCCAAAACGGAAUCGUGCGCUUCCAACGUGUUUUUAAAGAGAAAAUUUUAAAAGUGUUUUGGAAGCAAGAUUCCGUAAGCUUCUACAAGGCUCCGAUUCCGAUUUUGGUUAUGAAGCAAAAAGACGUCCGAUGAAGUUUUCGUGCAAUGUAGCCUAAAACGCAAACCACAAAAUCAUAUAAAAUAUACUAAUUUAGAUUACAAGUAAGAUAUAUCAUGGCCGUAGGACGGACCGACCCUUGUUGUAAAUAAAUGACCUAAAUAUUAAUUCUCAUAAUAAAAGUAAUUUGUCAGGAGAAUUAAAAUGGUAUAAUUUGAGAAAUACUCUAAUUAUAUUUUAAAUUUUGAAAAAUACAUUUUCUUUUUUCAUUAUUGAAAACUACACUUUCUUUUCUGUGAUAAGACAACUUUACCCUGGUUUAAGUUACAUAUUACAAAUGUAUUAUAAUCAAUAGUUUUGUUGUUUCCGACUAUUCUCCAUGACCAUUGCUGUUAUUUCCAUUGUUAAAAUUACUAGAACAUAUCUCUUUUUGUAGCAACGCAUAAACGUUACGGUAAAUUUGGUAGUUGAAAACUUUAUAUAUUUUUACUAGAUAUUGUUCCUCAUGUGUAUGCGAGAUGAAGUUUAUAUAAUUACUAAUGGUAUUCCGGCGCUAUUCGCCAGGUUCGUAUAUUUUUUCCUUAUAUGAAUUUACAAUUCAUAUUAUGGUUUUAUUAAACAAAUUAUGUCAAAUUUGAGAGAAGUUCCACAAACAUGUAAAAAAUAUUUCGAUAGAAAACACUCUCCACCAAAAAAACUACAAAUUUUGCUUUAACAACCAAAUGAAAACCAAAAAAAAAAAGAGAAAAGAAAAAUAAGUAAACUUUAGCUUGACAAAAAAUAUCACAACAAAAAAAAACACAAAAAAAUUCUUCACAAAUAGUAGUAAAGGUCUCACGGUCAACAAAAGCUUGACUAUGAAUAUUUGUUAAUUGUGUAGUAGAAUGUCUGAUAUUGUAAGAUUUUUUUGUAUAAAACAUAAUUUGUAAGAAAAAUACAAUUUUUGAUUUUGUGAGUUUACGGGUGGACGUUUGGUAAGUUAAAAAUUGUAAAUUGAUUGAAUAUUCAGAGGUUUUUAUAUUACAAUGGUAAGAAAUAUUUUGGACUAACUAAAUUAUAAAAUCUCUUAAUUAUUCCGAUGGAAAAAAUUUAACCAACCAUCGAGAGUAUAUUUCAAUCUAGCGUGGAUUCUCAAUGACUUCCUUGUCAAUCUCAUCCUGGAAAAAUAUGUCACUGAUCUAACCAUCUAAAAAGGGACAAAACAAAUAAAACCUGAAGAAUUUUUUUGUGGGAUCAACUUCGGUUUUUGAUUUUUAAAUAGGGAAAAUAUAAGAAUAGUAAAUAUAAUCAUUCCUUGUUUGUCGAUGAAUAACAUCUCUACUAGGUAAUAACCCGCGCCUUGCGCGGAAUGUGAUUAUUAGUUUUGUUAUUUUUAAUAAAAACACAUUAAAUCUGUUUAAUCUGGAUAUCGGUUCGGUUUUAAGUUAUUUUUUGGUUUUUAAUCUCCUAAAAUAUAACCAUUAUUUUAAAUUAAUAUUUAUUUUGGUUUGUUUUGUUAGAAUGUUUGAUUUUUUAGUUUUUUUGGUAAAAACCAAAAAUUACUAUUAUUUGUUUAUUUUCAUGUUAUAAAUUUUAGAUAAUCGUCAUGUCGAACCAAUGGUUUCAUAUCAUAGUUUGUAAGCGGAUAAGAGUUCAAGAAAAAGAAAAUAAAAUUAUUAAGACAAAUCAUUUCACUACAAUUUGGUCGGUAGUGAAAGAAUCAUUAAGAAAAAAAAUAGUUCAACUUUCAAAAAAAAAAAUAGAUACUUCAGUGGUGGUAAAUAUUUAUAAGGUGCUCACAUCAAGGUGCACAUGUAUAUGUAUGUAAAAGUAUAUAAAAAUAAAUGACAAAUAUACAAAGAUAUUGUUAAUUAAUAUUAAAUGACAUUUUUAUUCUAAAUAAUACAUGAACGAUAAAAUUAAAAUUAAUUAAAAAUUAUAAAGGCCUUGACUUUAGUGAAUUUUUUUCAUAUAAAGAAAAAUCAAUUGUAUUCGUAAAUAGAGGUGGACACAGAUCAAAUAUCUGGGUAUUUGGAGGCAUUCAAGUCGGUUUAAUCUUUAGCCACCUGGAUAGUCGGUGACUCUGAUAACCGAAAUGAUUUAGAAUUUUAAAGAAUAUCCUAUUUGAUCUGUAAAUAAAAUAAAAUUUAUAGAAUAAUUGAAAUUUUUAAUAAUAACAUUUUAUUACAAAAUAAAAUAUUAUUUAACUUUUCAAACUUUAAUACCUAUUAUAAUAAAUUUAAUUCAUAAAAUAUUGUAAACUUAAAUGAACUAUAAUAUAUAUAACAUAUAUAUAUAUAUAAUUCUGUACAUAUAUGUAUAUAUAUGCAUAUAACAUAUCAAAUUUGAUAUCCGUUCCUAAAAAUAUUGGAAUUUGUGAUUGUUUUUUUUUAAUUGUAUUUUAGUAACUGAUUUAGAGUUACGGAUAUCCAUAUUUUUUUGUUCAAAUCAAAACGGAUUACGAAUCGAAUCAAAAUUUAGAAAUUAUUUUGCCUGACUUUAUCCGUAAACAAUAAAAAUAAUAUAUAUAUAUAUAGUUUAGAUUUUGAUUCGUUAUUUGUUUUGAUUCGAAACGAAAAAUCUAAAGUUUUAUUGGAACCAUGCAUAUGAGUUUUAUAUUAAAAAUAUAAAGUAUAUAGUGUGAACACAUUUAUGAAUAUAGUGUGAACGCGUUAGCAUAUUUAUUAUCAAAUCAUUGUGAAGCUGCCACGUGUCUAUUAUAGUGUGAAUGCAUUUAUUACAAUGCUUCUCCUUUAAUAUAUAAGGAAUAUCAAUCUGGAGAGGUUCCCAUAAAAGGAUGAGCUUGGAGAUGAUCUUCGCCCUUCCCAACCCAGGAGGAACGUGUGGAAGAACGACGGAGGGUCAGUCGCCGUUAUGUUUAGUUCUUAAGCUUUUGUGGGAUUUCAUCUAGAGGCCGCAGCGCAAGAGGAAGAUGGAAGAGAGAAUUCUGAUAGGUGUGCUCAAGUUUGAGGUUUAGGCUUAAUCUUUGGUGAUGUGGCAGAAGAAGAAAGGAGAAAAGUCUAUUUUACUGUUAUAGAUAAGAUAGUAAAAAAAUAUAAAAGAGAAAAUAGUUUUUUUAGAGCAAAAAAAUAGUAAUCAUGUCUCAUUAGACUAAUAUGAUCUACUAAUUGUCUCAAUAGAUUAAAUAAUUUCAAAAUACCAAUAAUACCUUUAAAAUUUUAUUUAUAAAUUCGAAAUUAUAAUUACAAAAAAAAUAUUAUAAAUAGUAUAAUAUAAUAAAAUAAUUAUAAUUAAAAAUAAAGAAAAAAUAAAACAAAUAAAAAAAAUUCCCAAAUCAGUUUAUUCUCCUUCCCCCCCCCCCCUUCCCCCUCACCCNNNNNNNNNNNNNNNNNNNNNNNNNNNNNNNNNNNNNNNNNNNNNNUUCCCCCUCAGCCAUCGUUGUGUCCGCCUCUCUCUCCCUAGUCCCUAACUCUCUCGGUGGCGGCAAAGACUUAAGCUCUCCCCCCGACGAGUGCUCAUCUUCUCCGGCGUAAGUAGUGCCCUUCAACUCUUCUUCUUCGGCUUCCUCUCACGGUGUGUGCUUCGGCUUCAUCUUUGCAGGGAUAGCGGUUGAACAAGAAAAUGCAGAUUAUAGUUACUCUGCUCUCAGUUUUGGGCAAAAGCCAGGAUACUAAUAGCUUGAACAAUCCGAAUCAUAUGAUGAAAUACAUAGUUACUCUGCUCUCAGUUUUAUUUUACUAUCCAAACAGAACAAAUUUGCGGAAAAUAAUGAAAACAUAUUCAGAUCAUGAUUCCAUACAUUACUAUUCAACACAAGUCAUGUCUAUAACUUUCAAGUGCUAAGGUGUUGACAAAUUCAACAUAUUAAGGUUCAUAUUGUAGAACAAAAUUGCAGAUAAAAUAAAUUUAUAAAAGAAGAAAAGACGAGACUAAUGAGCAAUGCUCCUAGUGUUACAGAUGCACAUACAAAGAAACUUUUUGUAUGAAAGCUUACACACAAAAGUAACGGAGAACAAGUUGGCAACUAAAAAACUAGAAUAAGAAACUCGUCAGAAGUUUACAGGAGUUCAGGUACAGGCUACGUUCUCCUCUGAUGCAAGAAAAUUGUAGGUCGAAUAUAUGGAGGCUGCGGCUGCUCUAACUGCUCGAAUACACUAAAUUCUCAUGAAUUGAUCAGUCCAAUAGGUAGACAACUCAACUCCAAAUCGGCAUCCGUUUUUUUAAAACCAAAAUCCUCUACAAUGAUUUUCUGUAACUCUUCCAGAGAAGACUUCAAUUCCAAAGCAAGUAACAUUCCUCCUUUAUUUUCAUCAACAUUAAAAUUCCAACUUGAAGCUACAACCAAUUCUCAAACUCCACAUGAAGCAUAUAUAUAAAUCAUGAUCGAAAAUAAUGUGAAAAAUUUGUGAACAUGAAUAUAGAAGAUGCAGUGAGAAGAAGGCGUUCCAUGAUUUUUUUUUUAAUUGAUUUUUUUCAUAUAUAGAAACUGAAUUUUCCAAAAUUAUUUUGUUCCCAUAUUUUUUGGAACUGAUUAUUCUUAUUUGUAGAACACAUUAGAUUUGUAGAACUCAGUUUCUACAGGUUUUUAGAUUUAUAGUAACGUGUAGAUUUCGAUUUAUAUAGGUUUUAGAUUUACAUUUAAUAUGUAGAACUUGGUUUCUACAUGCUUUUAGAUUUAUAGUAAUAUGUAGAUUUCGAUUUCUACAUCUUUUAGAUUUAUAGUAAUCUGUAGAUUCUGAUUUCUACAGAUUUUAGAGCGAUAGGUUAAACGCAAAAUGUGUAUUCUAAAUAUUUUUAGAAUACUAUUAUUUACGUAGAUCAUGUAUUCUAAACAUAGUAGAUUUAAUGAAAAAAGUGGAUUUCAUUUUCUACUUUGUAAAACAAAAUCUGAAAUGAUGAUUUAAAAGUUUUUAGAACUGAAAAAAAUACCACUAAGUUCAUAUAGUUAUUUCAUCAGUAGUUACUAUUUUUCCUAUUUUUUUUUGUUUGUAAAACUAUUUAUUUAAUUUAUUUUCAAAAAUACUAAAUGGUAUUAAAGACAAAAAAUGGUACAAAAUAGAAAUUGGUCUAAUGGGACAUGAUUACCAUUUUUUGGGCCAAAAAAACAAUUUACCCAACAUUCUAUUGGAAGAAGUAAUAUGAUUACAAGAUUAUAUUUGACGUAAUAGAAGAUGCCUUCUUAUUUCUUCAAACUAUAACAAACAUUACAAGAGCAAACAAAUAUUACCGUGUGGACUAUAUUGUUCGAUUCAUUGACAAAACUAUAAGGAACAGGAUCUCCUCAUUGAGAAGGAAAAAACCCGGUCUUCUAUAGCGCCAUGAUGCAACGCUGGCUCAGCCGGACAAUCCCAUCUUGAAUCUCGACUUGUUUCUAUAUGUUUUUAUUUUCAUUUUUGAAAGCAUAAACUUCAGUUGCCUCUGUAAUUUUUUCUUUGUUGAUAAUCAAUUUAAAAUUUUUAAAAAAUAAUAAUAAUUUCUUUUUUUUAAAUCAGAAAUAAACUUUGGUGAUGUCAUCUACUACGCACUUCUUCUUUCAUAAGAGCAUUUUCAAAAAUGAACUCUAUUUCAAAGUUUCCAAAACUCUAUGUUUGAAGUUUAAAAGUGCUAUUCUCCAAAAUCAAAACUUCAAACUCAAUUUCAAAACUAUUUGUAUUUUAUAAUAUGGUCUUUAUAUUUGUCAUAAUUAAUUUGAAUUCACAAAACUUUUGUAAAUAACUAGCACAUAUAUAAACAUAUUACAACAAUAUAUUUAAUAAAAUAUUAUAAUAAAAUAUAAAAUUUCAAACAAAAUAACUUAAUUAAUAUUAAACUUCAAGCAAAAUGCCAUAUUAUUCCAUAAAGUGAUUUUCGUAAUGCAUAUAUGAUAUACUAGUGCAUUUUGAAGUAAAAAUGGCUCUCCUCAUUUUAAUUUGUAGAUUAAAGAUACAAAUUGUUGAAAUCGGGUGAUAUUAAUAUUUGUAAAUACAUUAGAUUAGAACAAGAAAGUAAAAUAGAAAUAUAAAAUAUUGCUAAAAGACUAACUUUUAUCGAUGAUAUUAAUACUCGUGAAUAUAUUCAAUAUGAACAAGAAAAAUUGUACGAAAAGACAUCAUCAACAACAACCAUCUUCAGUUACACAAAAAAAAAUAGACAAUAUUUAGAAAUUUUGAUGGUUCCGGAUCAAACUUACCUGACUAUUAGUGUUGUUGUAAUAUUUAAAUUUUUGUAAUAGUUAUGUCUUCAUGUAAUUUUUUAAAAACUUUUUUGUUAAGUUUCGUUUGUAUACUUUUGUUAUCUAAAUCUAGAUUUAAAUAUUUUAAAUCUUAUUUUAAAGUUUUAUUUAAUUUUAUGUGUUAACUUAAAUCUUAUAAACAAAACUUAAAAUAUUUAUGAGAUGUAAUUUUUAUAAGGAUUAAACAAUAAACAAGAAAAUAUUUAUGAAUCAUAAAUAUGAUGUGUAAUUGUAGAGAUCAAAAUGCAAAUAAAAAUAUGAAACUUCAAAUUUGAAGUUUCAUAUUUUUAUUUGUAUUUUGGUCCGUAUAAUCACACAUCACCUUUAUGAUUCAUAAAUAUUUUAUUGUUUUUGUUUUAAUCUUAAAAAAUUAUUUCUCAUAAAUAUUUUAAAUUUUGUUUACAGAUUUUUAACUUUACACAUAAAAUUAAAUAAACUUUAAAAUAAGAUUUAGAUAUUUUAAGCUAGAUUUAGACAACAAUAAUAUACAAAAAGAUUUUAAAAAAUUACAUGAAGACAUAAUUAUUACAUAAAUUUAAAUAUAACAACAACACAAAUAGCCAGGUAAGUUUGAUUCGGAACCUUCAAAUUUUCAAAUAUUGCCCAAUUUUUUUUGUGUAACUGAAGAUGGUUGAUGUUGUUGUUUAAUUUUGAUGUUUUUUCGUAUAAUUCUUUUUUGUUCAUAUCGAAUAUAUUCACGAGUAUUAAUAUCAUCAAAAAAUUAGUCUUUUAGCAAUAUUUUAUGUUUCUCUUUUACUUUCUUUUUCUGAUCUAAUAUAUUUACAAGUAUCAAUAUUAUUCUAUUUUAUCAUCUUUUAACUCGUAAUCUAAAAAGUAAAAAUAAGGAGAGCCAUUUUUACUUCGAAAUACACUAAUAUAUCAUAUAUGCAUUACGAAAAUCAUUUUAUGAAAUAAUAUGCAAUUUUGUUUGAAGUUUAUAAUUAAUUAAGUUAUUUUUAUUUAAAUAUUUAUAUUUAAUAUAAUAUUUUAUAAAUUAAUAUUGUUGCAACAUGUUUAUAUAUGUGCUAGUUAUUUACAAAAUUUUUAUGAAUUCAAAUUAGUUAUGACAAAUAUAAAUACCAUAUUAUAAAAUAUAAAUAGUGGUGAAGUUGAGUUUGAAGUUUUGCUUUUGGAGAAAAACACAUUUAAACUUCAAAUAUAGAGUUUUGGAAGCUUCAAAAUAGAGUUACUUUUUGGAGAUGCUCUAAAAUGGUACACAAAAGCAGUCACGUGCUUAUUAUACGGUUCUUUAUUAUGGAGACGUUGUCUGUAACUGAAUAAACCAUAAACAUGUUUCUUAUACGUUUCUCUACGAUGGAUGGGACUUUGUCCGUAAUCACCGUCGCAGUGCUGCCCUUGGGCUCAAGCUGAUGAAGCAUGGGCAUUUGGCUGUAUAAAUAUUAAAUCGGCCACAAAAUUAAUAGAAGCUUGUGUAGUCUAGUGGUUGAAACAACGUAGGUCAUUCCAAAAGGAGCUAGGCUCUCCCCAGUUGCCAAUAACAGUUUUCGGCCAUUUUUUCAUUUUAGCUUGUACCCUCAGUUACACUAGGACCGGCUCUGCACCGACGUUCUAUUGAACCUAAUGUGGCUGAAACUACACGCACACAUACAUGCAGGCCCAGUUAAGAGAUUAAGAGAACCAUCACUGGCAGAGGAAGGUGUUGAUUUCAAAAAUUCCCACAAAGCUGAUCAUAAGAACUGACUUAUCAGUUCAAAAAAAAAAAAAAAAAAAGAACUGACUCGUUCCACCACCAUUUUGGCCUCCUGAUCAUGUAUACUAAUGGAGGGAUUUGUAGAGUUGGUCACCACACCUUAUAAAACUGAUACUUACAGGCAAAUCUUAAUUAUACAUGUAUAAAGUAUAAACCAUUGCUAUAUAACUCAUCUUUAAUUAUAUAAUCUACAAAAAUCGAUAUAAUAGGUAUAAAAAUGUCAAAAAUAUAAGGGAAUAAAAAUGUCUGAUAACAUAAAUUAUUUUUUAAAGUUUCUAAAAUUGGAAGCUGCAUAUAGACAUUUUCUCAAAACAGAACAUUACAAUAAUUGAAAUGGAUGAUUCAGUAAGCUUCUAGAAAUAGCAAUCAAGACUUAUGAGAAGAAAUACUAAAAUCCUCCAGGUUGCAUUCUUUGAAAUGUUUGAAAGACUGCGCGUGAAAUAUGGAGCAAAUAGAAUAAAGAAGCAUUAUAUAUAAUGUAUUUGGCUCGCUUUAAAAUAUGCAUUUUAUUCUUGUCUUAUCUUCACGAGCAAACGCAAUGAAGAAGCACUAUGGAGGUUUGUGGUCCGCUUCUUUGUCUUUUCUUCGAGAAACCCUGGGUGAGAUCCACAGAGAAACUUUAAAUCUUCUUCAGAGGCUUGUUAAGCUAGAUAUCUCGUUUUUCGGUUUUGUUGUUAAUGGUAACAUUACUAGAUAUACUUUCAUUAUAAAAGAAAUGUCUAGCACGAGCAAACUGGAGGUGCUUGUUGUCAGUUCGGUUAAGUCAUGCAAUACAAUCUUAUAAAACCUUUUUCUUCUACCUUGUGAAUAAAUACCCUAGGAAUUGUAGAGUCGACUUCAACUGACGAUCUUGUUCACAACAAAAUUUUGUCUCUUAACAAUUUUUUUUUCUUGAAGUUAAAUGAGAAUAUUCCUAAACAUUCUUAACAUUAGUACGAAAAUAUAUAUUCCCAAACAUAUAUUUUUGGGAAAUAUUCAUAUAUAUAUAUAGAGAGAAUACUGUGUAGUAUGCUCUAGUUGUUGGAAAAGUUACAAUUUAUCGUGUGUGUGGUAACGAAGCCUAAAACAUUCUAUUGAUUAAAUUCUUAACAAAAAAGAUUCUAUGGAGAAAAGAAAUAUGCAAUUUCUGUUCUCAAAUAAAAAGAUUACUGUAUAUUGACGUAAAACGGUAAAAGGAUGCCUUCUUAUUUCUUCAGACUAAAACAUUAACUGGUGAUGGUGUGGGUCCAAUUCAACUGCGGAUGUUAUUGUUAACUUUUUCGAAGAACAAACUAGGCCUCGACAAAAUAAUCGGAACCGAACCGAAACCGAACCGAAAUAUCCGAAACUAGAACUGGACUAAUACCUUUAAAUAUCCGAACAGAUCCUAUAUUUUUAUAUCCAAAAUAACCGAACCGAACCGAGAACCAAACGGGUACGCGAAUAUAUAAAAAUAUUAAUUAUAUAUACAUAUAACAUAACUAAAUAUAUAUUUUUAAUUUAAAAUUCUAUUAAAAGUAUCUGAAAAUAGUUGAAGAUAACUAAAUUAUUAUAAAGUAUCCAAACUAUCCGGAACUAUCCGGAUAGUUUUUUCGGAAAUAUCCAAAGUAAUCCGAAAUAUCCGAAAUUUUUAUCUAAAUCAUCCUAAUUAUUUGAUAUUUUACCCUAGCUAACCGAUAUUUUAUCCAAAGUAUCUGAACAACCCGAACUAUCCAAACCCGAACUGCAUCCAAAUGAGAACCAAACUUUUUCUGAAUAUUUUCCGGUUUCUAUAUUUACUAUCCGAACCGAACCGAACCCAAAACUAUCCGAACCGAACCGAAAAUAGGUCAAAUAAUAAAUGGAUAUUCUAACUCUUAUCCGAACUAUCCGAAACUUGAAAUACCCUAACCGAACCGAACCGAUACUCGAAAUGCCUAUGCCUAGAACAAACAUUAGAAGACUAAAUAAAAAACUCUUAACUUCCUCUUUAAAUCAGAAGUAAACUUUGGUGAUGUCAUCUACUACGCACUUCCUCUUUCGUCAUGUUUCUUAGCAGUGACGUGUAUAUCAUACGCUUCUUUGUUAUGGAGACUUUUUCCGUAAUUGAUUAAAUCAUAAACAUGUUUCUUAUACGUUUCUCUACUAUGGAUGGGAACUUUGUCCGUAAUCAUCUACGUUCUACUGAACCUAAUGUGGCUGAAGCUACACACACACAUACACGAAGGUCCGGUUAAGAGAACCAUCGCUGGCAGAGGAAGGUGUUGAUUCCAUAAAUUCCCACAAAGCUGAUCAUAAGAACUGACUCGUUGUUCCACCACCAUUUUGGCUUCUUGAUCAUGUACACAGUACACUAAUGGAGGGGUUUGUAGAGUUUUUUUUUUUGUUUUUGGUCUAAGGAUUUGUAGAGUUGGUCAGCACACCUUAACAAACUGAUAUUUACAGACAAAUCUUAAUAAUAUAUGUAUAAAGUAUAAACUCAUUGCUAUAUAAUUCAUCUUUAUUAUAUAUACACAAAAUCUAUAUAAUGGGUAUAAAAAUGUUAAAAAUAUAAGGGAAUACAAAUAUUUGAAAUUUCAAAAAUUCUAAGCUGCAUAUGGACAUUUUCUCAAAACAGAACAUUGAAAUAUUGAUAUGGAUGAUUCAGUAAGCUUCUAGAAAUAUCAAUCUAGACUUAUGAGAAGAAAUAAAGUGACCCGUAUUGAGAAAAGGCUAGGAAAUACAAUUGUGAUCAUAAAAAAUAUAUUUGAUAAAAAUAUACUGAUAUUUGAGAAGUUUCUAAAGAGAUAAUUUCGGUGAUCGUCAAUUAAACUUGGUAAGAUAUCUGCGUCAGUUAUAAAUAAUGAAUGAAACUGCUAACAUAAUCAAUAAAUUAUAUGCUCAAUGUAAUUGGGUAACGUAAACGGCCAUGGUCCCGAAAAUUGUGUGGUUGCCAGACAAGACUGAAUUAUUAUUUUCUUGGGAACUAGUGCCUUAGCCAUGCGAUGGAGGUUCAACCUUUUCCUGCAUGUGAUCCGUUACUUUAAUUUAUUAAUGGUGGCAUUUGAAUAUUAGGUAAGAGUUGAAUGCGUGACACGCGGAGAAUUAACUAAUUGUUAAUAUAAUAUCGUAGGACAUUAAUUACCUAUUGACCUAAUCUAAUCCCUCACCUUUCUUCUUUAUAAAACGCCCCACUUCUUCCCCACAUACUCUCCAUGAGUAUCAAAAUUUAUUAUGAAGCGUUUUUCUUCACACAAUCUCUCUUUUCAUCUUCCUCUCUGUUUAUCAAUAUUUUUAUCUUUUAGAGUUCUUAUUAUCAUGUUUUAUAAGCUAUUGUUCUUUAAUUUCGUUUUCUUAUGUUAUAUUUCUGGAUUUGAAUCUUUUGUUUUAAUAUGAUUGAAAUCUUUGAUCCUGUAUUCUGGCAAUUGGUUUGUUAAUUUUCGAUUCUGGAUCUUGAUUCCUGUGAUUGGUUUGGUUCUUAAACCUAUAUUUGAUCGAAGCUUAUAAUUGUGAUAAGCUUACAAAAUCAUAGCUUCUAUGGUGUUAACUAAGCUUAUAAUUGCUUGAUUUCUGAAUCUUCCAACAUUUUUAUUGUUGUUUAGAAUUUCUUCUAUGCUAUAAUAUAUAUGUUUAAAUUUCGUUACUUCACUCUAUUAUUCAAUUCAGAUGUUCUUCUUGGCUAUUAUAUAUGUUUCAGAUUUGUUUGUUUCAGUCUAAUAUUGAUUCAGAUGUUAGUCUUAUAUUUUGUUAGAUUUAUUAAAAAGAUUCUGAUCUAUGUUCAUCUUAUAUUGGUUUGGUUGAUUAAAUAUAUUAUUUUAAACAAAACAAAAAAUGCUAUGGUAUGUUACAAAUUUAGACUAUUUAUUUUGAUUCAAAUGUUCAUCUUAUAUCUUCUAGAUUUAUUGAACAGAUUCCAUUCAAGUGUUCCUCUUGUUUGGUUGAUUAAACCUAUAUUAUAAUUAAAACCAAAAAAAGCUAUGAUGUUUUCCAGAUUUAGAAUAUUUAUUGAGAAAAUAGCCUAUCAAAUUUGGUAGUCUGAAAUUCCUCUUUAGGCAAAAUAAUUCAUUUCAGAGAACAAUGUAGUAGUCAUUUUAGCUGGUUUAAAUGUAGAAUGGUUAUUGGACCGGUUAUCUAUCUAUUUUGUAUCCUUUUAGGCUUGCGUUCUUGUUUACCCCAAAUUAGUUCUUCGCCUGGAGACUGACGCUAGCGAUUUGCUUGAACCUAAGAUCCAUUGUCUGGUUCUCUUUGCUGGACCUUAACAGUGUAGGUCUCUCUUAAGUUUCGCAAACUCAAAAAGUCGAUUCAUAAACCUGUUUUUUGUUAAUCAUUUGCCUUAUAACGAAUUAGCACUAAUGUAGCUGAUUCCAUCGAUUUAAUUUUGUUUUCCGAACCUUAUUCAAUAACCUUAAGCCCUAAUUUUGAGAUUGGCAUUGUGCGCUUUCUUAGUAUCGAAGACGUUUGUUGUUUGUUUAUGGUGAUUUGAAGAUCUCACGAUUGACAUUUUUCUUUUCUUUGUAUGGCAGAUGGGUCAGUUUAAGAUGAAGUUAAAGCUGAAGUGGUUAGAGAAGAUGAAGAAAGAUAAGAGGGAGUUAAAGAAACUCAUCCAAGUGGUUGAACAGGCUUACGCUAUUAGUCUUUCUCCUCCUGUUAGCGAAACCUAUGAUAUAAAUCAUCCAGAUGGUAGCGACAAAGUCUACAAGUCCAUCGUCCUUCAUAAUAAGCUCACUGUUCUUUUAAUAUCUGACCCAUCUGCUGCAAGCAACUCUGCUGCAAUGAGUGUGAAGUUUGGAUCUUUUGAUGAUCCAAGUGAUAUGCAAGGACUAGCCCACCUGAUAGAACACAUGGUUUUCUCUGGUUCAACUAUUAAUGGUGGAGAAAACGAUGUGAGGUCUUUUGAUUUUGAUAUUUUUUAAUAUCUCAUGUUUUAUCUUCUUAUGUUUGAAAACUGUUUCUUGUAGUUCAAGGACUUUGUGGGGAUGCAUGGUGGUGAUGUUUUUGCUAACACGGAACCGGAAUAUAUGGGUUUCUCUUUUACGAUUGUAAAAGAUCAUUUCAAAGCUGCGUUGGAAAUGUGAGUGUUCCCCCAUUUGAUUUGUAGUUUCUUUAAUCUUUUAUUAUCAAAGUUGUUAAUCAUUCUCAUCUUGUUAUUUCUUUCUAGGUUUGCCAAUAUGUUCAAUGAACCUCUAAUGGAUAUUGAACGUUUUAAAAAAGAGAUGAAGACACUCAAUUCAGGUACUGUUUUAAGGUAUGUUCAUUCAUUUGUAUCUUUUCAGAAGCUAAUUAUUAUACUUUUUGUUUUUGUUUUUCUUCUACAGAGUUUGAAUCUAACAAAUAUAAAGACACCAGCCGGAUGGAACAAUUAUUUUCUCAUACCUCUCCAGUAAAUCAUCCAUUCAACCGGUUCACAUGGGGCAACAAUCAAUCCUUCUCUGGCCAUGAACCGCAAGCCCUCCGUGACUGUGCUUUGAAGCUGUUCCGAAGUCACUUCGUAGGAGGUUCCAUGAAGCUCGUUAUAAUCGGUUCAGGUAAUGAAUGAUUUGGUCUUUUCUUUAUCACUCUUCUGUUGUAGGUAAUCAUUUAUUUGAUAUUUGUUCAAUCUAACCUCUUUGAUUUUUCUUUGCAGAAGCUGUAGAUGAACUUGAAGAUUUGGUCAUUGAGUAUUUUUCCAAUCUUAAACGUUGGAGAAAGACUAAUUUUGUAUUUCCUGAGUUUAAUGAUCGUCUUUGGAAGCAUGGCGUUUCUUACACACUUGAGUCUUUAGAAGAUGCCCAGAGUAUGAAGAUUUCUUGGAUAAUUCCUCCUAUCUCUCUCUCACAUUCUGAGAUAAGGCCAGAGCAGUUAAUUCACAUACUUAUAUGUGAAGGUUAGUUUCAGUUAAUAUUUUACUGUAUUUAUCCAAUUUUGUACUUGGUGGUUAAUGUAUAUUUUUGUUAUUUGGCAGAGAGUGAAGGCUCUCUUUGCUUCUUUUUCAAGUCGAAGCACUGGAUCACUUCUUUCACUGCAUCAGUUGGUCAUGAGUAUAUGUUUUCAGAUGUUGGAAAUUGUUCUUUUUCAUCUACAGCUGGAGGUCAACUAUUUACGAUCAAUUUAGAUAUGACCCAUGCUGGAUUGGAGAAUGUAUGUAUUCCACUUCUCAUUUAUUUAUAGAUUUUAUUGUAUUUUCUUAUCUUUUGGCUAUUGACUAUGUUCUUUGUUUAUUUGGCAGAAAUAUGAAAUGGUUUCAUAUAUAUAUCAGUAUCUUCAUAUGUUAAGAACCUGUGGAUCUUCUACACUGCUUCUUUCACUCAUUGAAGAUUACAAACUUUUACUACAAAUGAAGUAUCAAUGCAUGGAUAGUGAUUGUAACCAGCUUGGUGAUCCAGUUAAUUUUUCUUUGGCUCUUGCAGGUUUGUUUACUAACUUAAAUCUUCCAUUUUGUGUUGAAUAAAAUAUUAAAUUACUUUGUGGUUGUUUGUUUCAGUUAAUAUGCUCAGUUUCCCAGUGUCACAUGCUGUUUCUCUCGACUUUUGUUAUGAGUUUGGUGAUCUCACAGCAGUCCAAGAUAUGCUUAGAAAUUUCACAACUAACAAUAUGCGGAUUGAUCUAUUAACAAAGUCAUUCACCAAAGAAGAAGAAACACAAGAAGGUACAAAAACUAGUUGUUCAAUUAUAUAUUUCUUAAACAACAUAUUCUAACAGUAUGUUUUCCUGUAUUCUGUUCUUUUGUAACAGAGCCAUAUUUUUCUUCCAAGUAUAAAGAAGAACCAAUUCCACACCAUUACCUUCAGAAGUGGGAGAGUUCCCAAUUCCUGCAUUUUCCACAACGCAACAGCUUUAUGCCUGCAACAUGUUUUUGGAAAGAUGUUCCUGAUUAUCUCAAAAACGAGGAGAUUCUAGAUGUUGACCAUGAGGACAAGACUGGUGAUGUGGAGAAUUCAAAUUCUGAUGAAAUGGAGGAGGAUCCAGAUUCAAACAAUGACGUUCAAAUGGAUGAGGAUCCAGAUUCUUUCGAAAUGGAGGAGGAUCUAGAUUCUGACAGUGAAGUUCAAAUGGAUGAGGAUCCAGAUUCUUGCGAAAUGGAGGAGGAUCUAGUUUCUGACACAUCUGAGGAGGCCGAUGAUGAGGAGACUCCUUAUCAACCCAUUAUUGUUGAUGGUCAUAACAAGCUCUUCUACCGACAUCAAGUUGUAGCAUUGUCUACCGCUUGUUUCAACGUCUACAUGAAUGUUUCUCCUGGAGUAAUCCCUCAUAUGGUUGCUAGAAUCUAUUUUGAGAUGCUCAAACACGAGCUCAGCCCUAUCAUAUACAGGGUAAACAUCUUUUAAGUUUGUUCUAUUUUCUUCAAGAAAAUGUAGUAACUUUUUAAUUGCAAUGUAGGGUGUUGAUGCAUAUGUCUAUCCUCAGUUAUCAUUUCGAGAUGAUAACACCAUAGAGAUUGAACUCUAUGGUUAUGCAGGAACGAUUAGAGAUUUUAUGUCUUCUUUUUGUGAGGAGUUUAGAUCUUUUGUUCCUACUCUUGAAGUUUUUGAGGUAUGUUAUUUUGAAUAAACCUCUAGUUUUAUCAUUCUGUCACAAAUUGACUUUUUUCUCUUGUUACAGAUCAUAACUGAAAAGAUGUUGAGACAGUUCUAUCUCACAUCACGAGAUCUCAUUGUGCAUGGAAAGCAGUUACUAUCUGAGUUUAUCAUCGAAGGACAGCUCAGCAUGGAUGAGAAAUUCAAUGCAAUGAAGUUAAUCUCUUUUGAAGAUCUGAACGCCUUUUUACCUAAAACGCAGCAGGUAUCUCAAAAUCUUUGCAACUUGUCAUUUUAUUUCUCCAGUGCUUUUUUCAAAUGAAAUAUUUAUUUUGCAGAUUCGCAUAGUCGGAUUAUUUUUGGGGAGUUUCUCUGAAGACUAUUGCAAACAAAUCCUAGGUUUAUUCAAACCAUUUGGAGAGUUUGAAAUUCCAAGGAAAUCAGGAACUAAGAAAGAGCUAGCUCUCAUUUCUCCAUACAGAGUGUCUGCUAUGCCAAUAACUGAGAUUGAAAGUAAUUCUUUGGCCAAGGUAAAAACAAAUAUUCUGUUAUGUUUCAUUUUGGGCUUUAUUUACUUAUGACUGCUAUGUGUUAUAGGUAUACUACCAAAUGACUUGUGAAGAAAAUUCUAAAGAUUUUAAGUCGAACAGGAUCUCAGCCUUCUUACAUCUCUUGAAGUCUAUGGUAGAUGAGCAAAUAUAUACUGAUUUGAGGUUGGUUGGUUUAUUCUGUUAAUUAAUUUUCGCUUAUUAUUUUGGCUUUCGCAGUUUAAUAAGUUUCUCUGUUAAUUAAUAGGCUGAAACAGAGGCUUGGUUAUCUUGUUGGUUGUGAGAUUCACAACCAACAUGGGACUAAAGGAGUCUAUUUCUAUGUUGUCUCCUCUGAACAUAAACCGAUGCAUCUCUUGGAGAAAAUAUAUGAAUUUGUUGCUUCUCUGCGUCACUAUCUGGUAAAUUGUAUAGUAACUCAUGUUUAGUCAUUAUUGUUGAACUUAUCUAAUUAUUUGUCCAACUUCUAUACAGGUCAAUGUUGAAGAGAAAACUUUUGAACUUUACAAAAGUGGAAUUGAUGUGCCAGAUGACUCUGAUAUGUCUUCGGACCUGAUUCAUGAUGACAGGUAAUUUAGUCUUUUUAAUCUUUCUUUCUUUUUCAUAUAAAUUGAAUGAAUUUAUGCUAAUUGCAUGUUAUGUAGCAGUUGCAUAAGAGGUCAUCACACUGCAGUGAAGUUGGUUUUGAAAACCAUGAAGAAAGAAGAUGUGAUCGAGAUAUAUGAUCACUUUUUAGUCCAGAAGCCUCUCAUAGUUGAAGUAUGCAUUGGAUCUGACAUAUGAUAAUCUAGUUUUAUGCAUAGUAUCUGAUGUUUUAUGUUUUUGAGAGGAUUAAUGCAUUAGACAAUGUUUUUGUUUUUGAGAGGUUAUGUUUUAUACCUCUGGCCGAAUUAUAACUCUUUUGGUAUUUGACAAAUUUAAUAUUUUGGCUUAUAUGAUGCAGAUGUGCAAGACUUAGUGGUUGAGUUUUAAAUCAUUGAUGUCUGGCGUAAGUUAAUUAACAAACAAUAAAUUGGUGAAAGUUAGUAUAAGAAUCAGAACUAUAAUACAAUACUGUUGAGUAUCUCAAUGAAGAAAAACAAGCAAUUACAAACGAGUUUUGUCCACUGUUUGUAGCUUUUUAGGCUGGCAAAAGUAAAAUCAAACCCAGUUGGAAGGAUUUUAACUUAUAUUGAAUGUGUUUAUCUUUGUAUAUUUUGUUCAGAGGUGAGCCUAAAGUGCGAGUUCUUUCUAAGCUGCAACAGCCAAACCAAAGGUUCUUUCCAAAUCAUGUUCAAAGCCAUCAUCGUAAAACCGAACAAUUCUAACGCCUUUGGUCUCCAUGGCCAAUUUAACCCAUUGUAGAUAGACACUGUGACAAGCUUGAUGUAGUGGCUUGUGCAACAAGAGAAGAUUUGUUUCUUUUGGACGUGUACACAGAAAUGGUUGCUUCUUCUUCACGGUGAGUCUAUCAGAAAACAAAUUACAAAUUACAAAUUACAAAAGGAAACAAACCAAACAAACAUUUUAUUGAAUUCAUAGAAAAUUAAACAUUAUAUUUAAUUUUGAAGAUGUCUGAAUUUUUCUCAAAUAUUUUCAAUCAAAUCUUCCUUUAAUUGUUGAUGAAUAUGUGGAUUCGGAGCUUCUUUGCGACGAGCAAGUGUCGUGCCGACUUUUUUAGUCUUUUUAACGGUGAAAUGAAAAUCCUCAUCUUCAAACUCAUAAAGAGUGUUUGAAUCUCUUUCAUCUUGGACAAUCAUAUUAUGGAAAAUGAGACAUGCACUCAUAACAUUGGAAAUUUUGUUUUUAUCCCAUAAAUUAGAUGGAUUUUUAACAACCGCGAACCUAGCUUGGAGGACCCCGAAGGCCCGCUCAACAUUUUUUCGGACGGAUUCUUGUCUUUUAGCAAACAAACAAUUUUUUGGGCCCUGUGGUAGUCUGUUAUAUUGAAUGAAAGUUGCCCAGUUUGAAUAAAUACCAUCAUUGAGAUAGUAAGCCAAAUGGUAUUCGUUUCCGUUGACAUGGUAGUUAACUUCCGGAGCUAUUCCGUUUAUAAUGUCAUCAAAAACAGAUGAUCUAUCAAGAAUAUUAAGAUUGUUCAUAGUACCUGGAGCUUAAAAAAAAGUGUGCCAUAUCCAAAGGUCUUUUGAAGCUACAACCUCUAUGACAAUUGUGGGUUUUCCGGUUCCUCGUGAAUACAUUCCUUUCCAAGCCGUUGGGCAAUUCUUCCACUCCCAAUGCAUACAGUCGAUGCUUCCAACCAUCCCGGGAAAUCCACAUUCUUCUCCAACACAGAGUAGUCUCUGAAGGUCCUCUGGUGUGGGACGUCUUAGGAAUUCUUCGCCAAACAAGUUAAUGAUUCCAGCGGUGAAAUUGUGGAGACAAUGUCAUGCCGUUGUUUCACCAAGUCGAACAAAUUCUUCAACUGCAUCAGUUCCACCACCAUAAGCCAAUAGACGAAUUGCUGCAGUGCAUUUUUGGAGGGGAGAGAGACUAGACCGUCCAAGUGCAUCUUCUGUUUGUUGAAAAUACGGAACUUCGUUGCUGAGACGAUGCAUAAUAUAUAAGAACAAAUGCUUGUUCAUUCGGAACCGGCACCGAAAUAAAUUGUGAGUGUAUGUCGGAUUAUCACUAAAUUAAGCAUUCCAGAGAUUGUUGUGCCCCUCUUCUCGGUUUCUCUCAUUAAAAACUCUUUUCUUGCACUCUUUUGGUUCCGAAAUUUGAUUAUAUUGAUCACAAAUUUCUUGAAAAGGGCCUUCUAAACUAUCAUCAUCAUCAUUGUGGUAAUGAUAAUGGGAAGAAGAUGCCAUUGAAAUUUGAAAAAAAGAUGAAUUGGUUUGGUUGUAAUGGUAAGGAGAGAAAUAUUGUAGGUUGUGAGCAAAGACGAAUGAUUUAUUUUGUUUUCCUGUGAAGAACACUCAUAUUUAUAACUUUUAAAUCUGUAGCUUGUGAUAUUUUCGUUUGCCACUCCCGUGAUGCCUAUUACUCGUGAAAGGUUAUCUCCUCUUGUGAAUGUAUGUUGUCUUGUUGUAGAAAAGAGUCACGAGAAUGCUUGCUGUGAACUGACAUAUAAAGAGUCACCAGAACUCAUUCACAUAAUGCUUUACACAUACUUCAUUCUUAUUAAGUCACGAGAAUUCACUAGGCUUUAAAGUCACGAGCAUUCAUUACAUAUUAUAAGUCACGAGUUCAUUACACAUAAUGCAUUACAUAUUAAGUCAUUCAAGCAACCGAUAAACGUGAUAACACAUACCAUCCUAAAGCAUUACAACAACAACCAACGUGAUUACAAAUAGCAUCCUAAACCAUUACACAUUAAGCAUACUAACCCCACUUAAACAUAAGGCCAAAACCUAUGAAAACAAAUGCAAUAACCAGUACACCAACAAGCACUUCAAAGCCAAGGGUGAACCGAGAUGUUACCUUAACCAACUCAGAAACCAUCUUCUCGAGCUCCACCACCUUCUCCUCAGUCUCCUUGUCACUCAAAUAAGUAAGAUUGUCAACCUUUUCAGCCAAUUGAAGAAUGUGUGCAUCCCUCGCUCUCAUCUCCUCCAUAACCGCCACAUCCCACCACUUCCAAACAUGGCACUCCCCAUCAUCUACAUUCCCACAAGUAUAGUAUCUUCUUCCUGGAUCGUUGCGUGUGUAUGAUGUAGCUAGGAGAGGUUGACCUCCACAGUAAUAGGCAGCGUUGAGAAACAACCAGUCCUAUCACAAACUUAAGUCUAUGUCGAUAAAAACGGGGAUGCAUUUAAAUUUGAAUGAGUUCAAAAGCUGUCAAUCUGAAAAGAGUUUCAUGUCAAUCUAAAAUGAGUUAAAAAAAAAAAGAUUUUCUAUCAAUGAGUUUGAAUGUCUUUCUAAAAUGAGUGAAUGAGUAAAUAGUACAAUGAGUAUCAUAUCAAAUGAGAUUGAAAUCUAAUUAGUUAAAACUCACCAAGAGUUAAUCUCUUCAAGAACGAGUAAUAUCAUAUACGAGUUAAGCAUCCUAAAGAACAAAACAAAACAAGAGUUAAUCUCUUCAAGAAAACGAUUCUCAGACAUGGCUUUAUCACUUACAAACCCUAAUUUAUAAAUUUUAUUUACAAAAAACGACAUGCAUUCAAUCACAAAGACGAAGCAUACAAUCAAAUCCUAACAACAAAAACAAACAAGCCUCAAAUACACACGACCUAGAUCGAGAAAUAAAUACUCUAAAUCUCUAUACUACAGACUGAGGAUUGAGUGAUACCUUGUUUAUCUGAGGAGAGAUCGGCGGCGGAGAGAUCGGCGGAGAGAUCGUUGGAGAGAUCCGGUGGAGUGAUUCGGUUGAAAUCGGCGGAGAGAUCGCUGGAGAGAUUGGUGGAGAGAUGGGAGAGAUCGGGGCUCGGAUCGGAGGAGAGAUCGUUUGAUAUUUCCGAUGGAGAGAUUCGGUGGAGAGCUUCGUUGGAGAGCUUUGUUGGAGAGAUUUAGGGCGAGAGAUUGAGGGCGACAGAUUGGGAUCGACAGAGAGAUGGGACAGAUCGCCGGAGGGUUCGACGGAGUCCGCAGUCGAGAGCUCGGUGGAGGGAAACCGUCGAGAGAGAUGGGAGACGAUGCGAAUGAUUUCGUCGAGAGAUGGAAGACUUUCCCAACACCGAACACUCUGUCCCCUCUCUCUGUGACAUGUGCAGCUAAGGACACAAACUUAAAACUUCUUAAUUAACAUACGUAGCUAACGUUUUCUGCAUUAUUGAUUUAAAUUGAUUUAAAUUAAUUACCUAUUAUGCUAAGGACGCGCUAACAACCGUGCGAUACAGAUGCCCUAAGAGCAUGAUUAUUGAGUUUGUUUAGGUAGGUUGCUUAAAUUAAUUUUGAUUAAAAAAAAAUUACUCUUUUAUUCAAGAACCGUCGCUUAAUUAGGAACAAUAAGAUACGUUGCUUAUCUCCUCCUCCCUCUCUCUCAUCUCUAUCUCUAUCUCUAUCUCUAUCUCUCUCCCCACUUCCUGAAAUCAGUCGAUUUCGAUUCCAAAAUGUCGUGAUUGAUCUCUUCUCCUGGGAUGAUCUGUCGUCGUCGUCUUUGAUCAUCUCGAGGGAUAGGGAUUGGGUUCGAUCUCUUCUCACCGCGUACGUCACCGUCUUCUCCUCCUCGCCGCCGUCCUUGUUCUGAUCCAAAAGCUCCUUCACCGGAACGAUAACCUCUCCGACGGGCUUAUCGCCGGCGAUGGGACGAUCAGCCACGAUCUCGAUGACUAAGGUGAGGCUUUAACUUAGUUAGUAAAGAGAUAUUCUGCAAAUCUUAUUGAUAGUUUCGUGUUGUGGCUUUUGUAAAUCUUAUUGAUGGUUUCGACAGAACCGAGCCUUCACAUGGAGGUAGAGGGAGAAGAUGAGUUCAGGGAAGAGUAUGCUUAUUACAUAUUCCAUGUUCCUUCUGAUCCCAUUUAUGUUUGUCGUGUAACCACAAGAAUGGAACACACUUUUAGUAGUCCUAUCUUUUUUUCAAGUCUCUGUUUUUUUUUUUUUUUUUUUUUUGUAGUUGUGCUAUCUCUGAUUGUUUGCUUUUUGUUUAUGAUGGAAAUGCAGAUAACUUCUUAGGGUUUGAGGAGGUGGUCUUCUUAUUCCCUGCAGGAUGGCCGGAGUCUCGAGAGAUUGCCGGAUUCUAACAAGCGAAUACUCUUCUUCUCUUCUCCUCUCUUGCCGUAUGUUUUGUGUAUUGAAUGGUCUCUUUUGAAGAACAUAAUAUUGGCAAAAGUCUAAAUCUUUUGUUCUCAAGUGAAUACUAGUUUUACAUUAAUAUGAAGAAUAAUGAAACUACUUUUUGAUACCAAAUUUGGAAUUGGAGUUUUUACUUAUACCCAAUUAAGAACUUUGCAAUGGACCACUUAAAUGUUUGGGUUUCUUAACCUUGUCUCUUAAUUCACUUUUUGUGCUUAAAAGCAUUAAAAAAGUAAUAAGAACCCCUAAUAUGUGUAUUUGCAAUAAUCAUGCUUUUAGAGUCUCUUGAUUCUUAAUAGAAGUUGUCGGGAAAUAGGAGUCGUAUUAGUCUAUCAAAACACUUGUACAUUUCUCUUCUCUGCUAAACAUGAAUCUCAGUGAGACUAAGACGAAUCACUAUAUGCAACAUAUCAAUCACUGAAUCGAUCAAAGGGACUGAUAUUCAUCGCUUUGCUCAAGUUGCACUCUCGGCUGUUUCUUGAUCACCAACAACAUAUUUUUUUAUUAAAUUACAAAAUUACAUCUAAGAAAGUCGAAAAAAUUUGUGUGCAUCUCAAAGUAGCCAGCUAAAUCGUGUAAUUACCCCAUAUAACACAACUUAUGUUUUGUUUGUGUUAUUUUUGUAACGCCGCGGAUCAGUGAAAUGAUCACAUCAAUUAUUAUACAAGGAUAAAAAGACAACUGGCACAUUAUCAUGACAAGGAUUUCACAAAAUCAAACAUAUAACUUCAUUAUCAUGACAAGGAUUUCACAAAAUCAAACAUAUAACUUAAAUAAAAGGUUUAUUUUUAAAAAGUCCUAAUCAAGCAUAAAAAGCUACAAAAAAAAAAAAAAAGAUAGAGGAAAUAGAUAGUGGUGGUAACUUAGGUGGCGGAUACAGCUUUGCGUGAGCUCUUCUUCUUCUUCUUUAGAAGAGCUUUGGGCUUGUGUAUUUUUGAAUUUGAUCGGAGAUGCUUACCUAUGCGUAGUCAGAAAAAAAAACAUAAUGUGAGCGACAACAACCACAU
rnacentral:lncRNA from 1 species